rnacentral:rRNA from 1 species
UACAGAGGGUGCAAGCGUUAAUCGGAAUUACUGGGCGUAAAGCGCGCGUAGGCGGUUUGUUAAGUCGGAUGUGAAAUCCCCGAGCUCAACUUGGGAACUGCAUCCGAUACUGGCUUGCUAGAGUGUGGUAGAGGGAAGUGGAAUUCCAGGUGUAGCGGUGAAAUUCGUAGAUAUCGUGAGGAACACCGGUGGCGAAGGCGGCUCACUGGCCGGAUACUGACACUAAGGGACGAAGGCGUGGGGAGCAAACAGGAUUAGAUA